CUGAGAAAGCACGCAGGGUUUUCAAGUUUAGCAUCUCCCCACCUGCUACAGGUUCUGUGCUAUGUCUGCAUUCCAAAUUCACACCCCUCCACACACCCUCAGAUUCUCUCCAGGAAACUUUGUGUUCGGUGAAAACUGUUACAAAUUCAGCUAGAAGUUUCCUUCUCCCUGUGGUCUUUUCUCAGUUCCUCUGGCAGCCCUCCCCAAGGACCUCUGUGAGACAAACUCAGAAACGGCUUCCCUUGGGACAUAAAGACCCCACAGGGCUCAUCCCUCUGCUUCUUCUACCCCUGUACUUUGCUCAGCUCACUAAAUUUGUCUCAGCUCCAGACAGCAAACUGCCUAAACUACAAAGGGAAAGGUCUAUGGUCCUAUAAGAGUUUACCUUGCAAGCAAGAUCAACAUUUUCUUGGGGAAAGAAGCCAAAUAAAGCCAAGAGUUUGUAUACAUCUUCCAAAUAUCCUGAGCUACAGAAAAGAAGAAAGGGUCAGAAAGAAGAUUCUCUCUGCUAGUCUCGCAUGGUUCUGAACACAUAGUAAAUGCUGAAUUACUAUUUCCUAAAUUAUCAUAAAGCUGAGAAGAAUCAUGAUUCUCAAACUUCACCUUGGAAUUAAAAUGGAUUUCCUUGAGAAGCACAUAUGAGGUAAGCAGACCUCUCCUGUGAUGUUCUGGAUAUGCCUGUCUCAACAGAUUUCAGGGUGGCCGUCUUCUCUGCAAAUUCAGUUCUCUGAUGUGUCCAAGGUAAGUCAUUUGUUUUUAAUUUGUCCAGCUUUUUCUUGUAGUAAGGAUAAGUUGACAACUAGCAAUGACUCUUUAAUCCUAGAUGGCCAAAUUUACUU